UAUUUAAUGUAAAUUAUUUAAACUUGAGUAGUAUUUGUUAUUAUCUUAAAACUUAAAGAAUUUGGCGGUAUUAAAGUCUUUUUAGAGGAAUCUGUUUAAUAAUCGAUAAUCCACGUUGAACCUUACUUAUUUUUAUUUAAUUUGUAUAUCGCUGUUUUUUUUGUAAAUUUUUUAGAAUAUUAAUUUUCUUUAUAUCUUUAUUAAAGAUUUAUUUCAAGUCAAGGUGCAGUUAAUAAAUAAGUUUAAAUGGAUUACAAUAUUUUUUUAAUAUAAAAAUGGAUUAGUAUUAGAAAUUUUUAUUAUGAAGGUGGAUUUAAUAGUAAAUUUUUGUAGAUUAUAAUUUUGGAAUAAGCUCUAUAAUAUGU
rnacentral:rRNA from 1 species